rnacentral:rRNA from 1 species
CACUAUCGUUAACUGAAUACAUAGGUUAACGAGGCGAACCGGGGGAACUGAAACAUCUAAGUACCCCGAGGAAAAGAAAUCAACCGAGAUUCCCCCAGUAGCGGCGAGCGAACGGGGAGCAGCCCAGAGUCUGAAUCAGCUUGUGUGUUAGUGGAACGGUCUGGAAAGUCCGACGGUACAGGGUGAUAGUCCCGUACACCAAAAUGCACAGGCUGUGAACUCGAAGAGUAGGGCGGGACACGUGGUAUCCUGUCUGAAUAUGGGGGGACCAUCCUCCAAGGCUAAAUACUCCUGACUGACCGAUAGUGAACCAGUACCGUGAGGGAAAGGCGAAAAGAACCCCGGCGAGGGGAGUGAAAAAGAACCUGAAACCGUGUACGUACAAGCAGUGGGAGCACCUUCGGGUGUGACUGCGUACCUUUUGUAUAAUGGGUCAGCGACUUAUAUUCUGUAGCAAGGUUAACCGUAUAGGGGAGCCGCAGGGAAACCGAGUCUUAACUGGGCGUUAAGUUGCAGGGUAUAGACCCGAAACCCGGUGAUCUAGCCAUGGGCAGGUUGAAGGUUGGGUAACACUAACUGGAGGACCGAACCGACUAAUGUUGAAAAAUUAGCGGAUGACUUGUGGCUGGGGGUGAAAGGCCAAUCAAACCGGGAGAUAGCUGGUUCUCCCCGAAAGCUAUUUAGGUAGCGCCUCGUGAAUUCAUCUUCGGGGGUAGAGCACUGUUUCGGCUAGGGGGUCAUCCCGACUUACCAACCCGAUGCAAACUACGAAUACCGAAGAAUGUUAUCACGGGAGACACACGGCGGGUGCUAACGUCCGUCGUGAAGAGGGAAACAACCCAGACCGCCAGCUAAGGUCCCAAAGUCAUGGUUAAGUGGGAAACGAUGUGGGAAGGCACAGACAGCCAGGAUGUUGGCUUAGAAGCAGCCAUCAUUUAAAGAAAGCGUAAUAGCUCACUGGUCGAGUCGGCCUGCGCGGAAGAUGUAACGGGGCUAAACCAUGCACCGAAGCUGCGGCAGCGACACUAUGUGUUGUUGGGUAGGGGAGCGUUCUGUAAGCCUGCGAAGGUGUGCUGUGAGGCAUGCUGGAGGUAUCAGAAGUGCGAAUGCUGACAUAAGUAACGAUAAAGCGGGUGAAAAGCCCGCUCGCCGGAAGACCAAGGGUUCCUGUCCAACGUUAAUCGGGGCAGGGUGAGUCGACCCCUAAGGCGAGGCCGAAAGGCGUAGUCGAUGGGAAACAGGUUAAUAUUCCUGUACUUGGUGUUACUGCGAAGGGGGGACGGAGAAGGCUAUGUUAGCCGGGCGACGGUUGUCCCGGUUUAAGCAUGUAGGCUGGUUGUCCAGGCAAAUCCGGAUAAUCAAGGCUGAGGUGUGAUGACGAGGCACUACGGUGCUGAAGUAACAAAUGCCCUGCUUCCAGGAAAAGCCUCUAAGCAUCAGGUAACAUUAAAUCGUACCCCAAACCGACACAGGUGGUCAGGUAGAGAAUACCAAGGCGCUUGAGAGAACUCGGGUGAAGGAACUAGGCAAAAUGGUGCCGUAACUUCGGGAGAAGGCACGCUGGUGUGUAGGUGAAGCCCCUGCGGGUGGAGCUGAGACCAGUCGAAGAUACCAGCUGGCUGCAACUGUUUAUUAAAAACACAGCACUGUGCAAACACGAAAGUGGACGUAUACGGUGUGACGCCUGCCCGGUGCCGGAAGGUUAAUUGAUGGGGUUAUCCGUAAGGAGAAGCUCUUGAUCGAAGCCCCGGUAAACGGCGGCCGUAACUAUAACGGUCCUAAGGUAGCGAAAUUCCUUGUCGGGUAAGUUCCGACCUGCACGAAUGGCGUAAUGAUGGCCAGGCUGUCUCCACCCGAGACUCAGUGAAAUUGAACUCGCUGUGAAGAUGCAGUGUACCCGCGGCAAGACGGAAAGACCCCGUGAACCUUUACUAUAGCUUGACACUGAACAUUGAGCCUUGAUGUGUAGGAUAGGUGGGAGGCUUUGAAGCGUGGACGCCAGUCUGCGUGGAGCCAACCUUGAAAUACCACCCUUUAAUGUUUGAUGUUCUAACGUUGGCCCCUGACCGGGGUUGCGGACAGUGUCUGGUGGGUAGUUUGACUGGGGCGGUCUCCUCCCAAAGCGUAACGGAGGAGCACGAAGGUUAGCUAAUCCUGGUCGGACAUCAGGAGGUUAGUGCAAUGGCAUAAGCUAGCUUGACUGCGAGCGUGACGGCGCGAGCAGGUGCGAAAGCAGGUCAUAGUGAUCCGGUGGUUCUGAAUGGAAGGGCCAUCGCUCAACGGAUAAAAGGUACUCCGGGGAUAACAGGCUGAUACCGCCCAAGAGUUCAUAUCGACGGCGGUGUUUGGCACCUCGAUGUCGGCUCAUCACAUCCUGGGGCUGAAGUAGGUCCCAAGGGUAUGGCUGUUCGCCAUUUAAAGUGGUACGCGAGCUGGGUUUAGAACGUCGUGAGACAGUUCGGUCCCUAUCUGCCGUGGGCGCUGGAGAAUUGAGGGGGGCUGCUCCUAGUACGAGAGGACCGGAGUGGACGCAUCACUGGUGUUCGGGUUGUCAUGCCAAUGGCACUGCCCGGUAGCUAAAUGCGGAAGAGAUAAGUGCUGAAAGCAUCUAAGCACGAAACUUGCCCCGAGAUGAGUUCUCCCUGAGACUUUAAGUCUCCUGAAGGAACGUUAAAGACGAUGACGUUGAUAGGCCGGGUGUGUAAGCGCAGCGAUGCGUUGAGCUAACCGGUACUAAUGAACCGUGAGGCUUAACCUU